rnacentral:tRNA from 1 species
GAAGUUAUAGUCAAAAAUGAUACUUGACUUGCACUCAAGAGGUGCUUUAGAUAAAGCUAACUUUA